UUGCAGUGCAGUGACACGGGCUGGCUAUAUUGUCACUGAGCACUAACUUCUCAUACACAGAGACAGACAGAGAAAACCCUUUCGGAACCGUGGCUAGCCAUGAACAGGCAAAGAGAAUGUACGUGCCGAUCACGGCUUGUAAACUCCCAACAUGAACACCUGCUGUUGAAAAUCAGAGACCCACCCUGAAAACAAAUGCAAAGUGACAAGGAAUGUACUGAAAUAGGAGCCUCAUUUUGUUAAUAUGUCUUAAAACUUUAAUCUGACUAACCAUAUCUGCUCCUUACCAGGGUCUCCAAAAUGUUUUACAUACAUACGGGUCAUUUUUACAGUGUUAUAGUGAAACGGGGAAACACUCAUUAAACAUCUACUAUAUAUGCCUUUGGAUGAGUAUGAAAUAUUAUGAACCUGGAGAGAAUGCAGUUUUCCUUUCAAUGCCAAGACGAUCUAUGGUUAUUGAUUUGUAUUUGAAAACAAGGCAAGAGAAAGUCAAGCUGAGAGAGUACAGGGUCCACAAUGAGCUCUGCAUUUGAUAUGAUCUACUUUAGGACUUCUGAAAGUGGAGCCACCCACGGAAGCAUGAUCAACCUACCAGGAUCCACAGACUUAAAGAAAACUGACUUUCCUUUCCCCAGAAGCCACAGUGAUAGCUCCUCAGUUAGGGAUGAUGGUUCAAGCACCCUUACCUACUCCAUGCUACAAUAUUUCCUGGGUUCAUUAUGUGGAGUUUAUGUGCAGACAACCACAGCUGCUGUGAGUUCGGGAGUACAGAAGUCCUGUCAUGUCCAGAAGACACAGUUUUUCUGUCCUCCUCAACCUAUGAUUCUUUCCAUGCCCUCUUCUGCAGUGGUCCCUGAGCUUUGGGGAGGGGGUUGCGAUAUCGACAUUGUAUUUGUUUUGAUGAGCUGAGCUCUCCAUGUUCAAUUGUUCUCUGUAUUUUCAUAAGUUGUGAGUUUCUGCAAAGCCACCACCCACUGUACAAAUUAACUUCUCUGUGGAGGUCUGAGAACUACACUAACGUACAAUUAGAGAAAUACAAAUUGAGAGAACAUUUUGAUAUUAUGUCCAUUUACAAAAUAAUAGUAGUAGGCUCACUCCUGGAGCCUGUGAGCUCUGGAAGCUUGGGUUCUUGGCAAGAACUGCAAUACUGGACAUGCCUUUCCUCUCAUGAAGUAGACCUUAAAUCCAAUGAAAAAUCAGUUGUUACUGUUCAAAUAUUGGUGCUACUAUUGCACCCAUAGGCAUAUCUUGCCAUGAUGUUCAUUACUGCAACUCACAGGGCUCAUAGAUGGAUAGGACUGUUGAUGUUUUCUCCCGAGCAGCCAACAUAGAAGCUUCUAAGUCUUUGAAAGCUAUUCAGCAGGCAAAAUGUCAGCGAAGAGAAACUUGAUUUUUCAUGUCCCGUGACCAAUGUGUGUGGUGUCUUCAGCAAUAAGUUCUUGCUGUCAAGUUCUGAUGGGUCAACCAAGAGAAAUUACAAUAGCCUGUAUUAUUUUGAGGGCCUCCAGGAUACAUCUUACCAACAACUCAAAGCUUGUAAAAUAGUAGUUUUCCAUAUGGGUUUUUCAAACAUUCUUAGAGUUAGUUAUUCCUCCCCCAACAACCCUUCUUCAGCCAUAUCCUCCUAUCCUUCUCCCUACUUAAACAUCCCUCUCCAUUAUUCCCUAUUUCUCCUUCGCAUCACAGGUGUUUUACCAGAAGUUAAUUCAUGUUUUAAACUUUUGUGUAUGUGUAUAUUGAUGUUGAAUACAUUCCCCCUCAUAGUCUGUCAUCCCUUUUCUGAGCCCUUCCCCACCUCAUUAGUGCCCUUUGUUCCCCUAGACAGUUUCAUUUCCACUUCUGUAUCUCCAUAAGUCUAGGACUCAAAUUCAGAGAAAACAUGAUAUUUGUAUUUCUGAGACUGACAUGACUCACUUAAUACAUUUAUCUCCAGUUACCUUGAUUUUCAAGUUCUGUUAUUCUUUCUGGCUUAAAAAAUUUCCAUUGUGAGUGUAUAACACAUUUUCUUUUGUGCACUCAUCUGCUGUUGGAAACCCAGAUUUGUUCCAUAAUUUAGCUCCUGUAAGUAGUGCAGCAAUAAACACUGAAUACAGGUUUCUCAGUAAUAUAUUGACUCCGAAUCUUUUGGAUAAAUUCCUUGGAGUGGUAUAGCUGGAUCAUAUGGAAGAUCUAUUUUUUAAAUUUUGAGGACUCUCCGUAUUGACUUGCAUCAUUGCUUGAUUUGUUCCUACUCUAACUAGCAGUGUGUAAAAGGGUUCUCUUUUGUCCACAUGCUGGCAAACAUUUGUUAUUUACUUAAUGGCUACCUUUGUGUGAAUAUGCUAAGUAAUCUCUUAAAGAUUUAUUAUAUAUGAUAGAUAAUUUUAAAAAAACACAGUGUUCUUUGAAAGAUGAAGCAGCUGGUUUACUGAUUUAUUGUAUCAUAAAUGAACUCAAUGAACUCGCAUAGUGGUGUGAGUAAUUUUAAGAAAAAUAAUUAGGGCUGGUAUAGCUGAAGUUUUCUCUGGUCCUGCCCAGCCCCACAGACCCCACAACCACUUAUAAAAUAAUCACUCAGAAGCUUAUAUUUAUUAAAGCUUUUCAGCCAUUAGCUCAGGCCUACCAUUGAUUAGCUCUUACAUUUAAACUGAGCCCAUUUCUGUUAAUCUAUAUAUCGCCACGUGCUCCGUGGCUUUACCUGUGUGCCAUUACAUGCUGUUCCUCUUCCCAGAAUUCUCCUCUCUGCUUAUCCAGCCUAUACUAUACUUCCUGCCUGGCUACUGGCCAAUCAGUAUUUUAUUUAUCAACCAAAUCAGAGCAACAUACAUUCCCAGCAUACGGAAUGGCAUUCCCAUCAAGCUGGAGUUAAGAGCCCUGGCUACUUUUCCAAAGGACCUUGGUCAGACUCCCAGCCACCACAAGGCAGGUUAAAGUCAUCUGUAACUCCAUUCCAGGGGAUUCAGUUUCCUUUUCUGGCCUUCAUGGGCACCAAGCACUCAACUGGCUGGUUCUCAGGCAUGCAUGUAAGCAAAACAACCAUACACCUAAAAUAAUUAAUAAAUUUAUUGUACAAAGAUGAUUAGAUGAUCAAGUAUUUCAUGCCUAGUGAUCAAAAACUCUUAAUGAAAAUUUUUUAGGGCUGAUGAGAUGGGUCACUGAUGGCUCAUUGGGUAAAAGCACUUCCUGCCAAGCUUUAUGAUCUUGUGAUCUCACAUGGUAUGAAUAGACUCCAGCAAGUUAUUCUCUGACCCUGACAUGUGUUCUGUG